rnacentral:rRNA from 1 species
GCCGCUGCAGAUCUGGUUGAUUCUGCCGGACCCGACUGCUAUCAGAGAGGGACUAAGCCAUGCGAGUCAACAUAGCAAUAUGUGGCAUACGGCUCAGUAACACGUAGUCAACAUGCCCAGGGGACGUGGAUAACCUCGGGAAACUGAGGAUAAACCGCGAUAAGUCACUACUUCUGGAAUGGGUAAUGACUUAAAUCUAUAUGGCCCCUGGAUUGGACUGCGGCCGAUCAGGCUGUUGGUGAGGUAAUGGCCCACCAAACCUGUAACCGGUACGGGCUCUGAGAGGAGGAGCCCGGAGAUGGGCACUGAGACAAGGGCCCAGGCCCUAUGGGGCGCAGCAGGCGCGAAACCUCUGCAAUAGGCGAAAGCCUGACAGGGUUACUCUGAGUGAUUUCCGUUAAGGAGAUCUUUUGGCACCUCUAAAAAUGGUGCAGAAUAAGGGGUGGGCAAGCCUGGUGUCAGCCGCCGCGGUAAUACCAGCACCCCGAGUGGUCGGGACGAUUAUUGGGCCUAAAGCAUCCGUAGCCGGCCUUACAAGUCCUCCGUUAAAUCCAGCUGCUUAACAGAUGGGCUGCGGAGGAUACUAUAAGACUAGGAGGCAGGAGAGGCAAGCGGUACUCAGUGGGUAGGGGUAAAAUCCGUUGAUCCAUUGAAGACCACCAGUGGCGAAGGCGGCUUGCCAGAAUGCGCUCGACGGUGAGGGAUGAAAGCUGGGGGAGCAAACCGGAUUAGAUACCCGGGUAGUCCCAGCCGUAAACGAUGCAGACUCGGUGAUGGACUAGCUUUAUGCUGGUCCAGUGCCGCAGGGAAGCCGUUAAGUCUGCCGCCUGGGUAGUACGGUCGCAAGACUGAAACUUAAAGGAAUUGGCGGGGGAGCACCACAAGGGGUGAAGCCUGCUGUUCAAUUGGAUCC